UGAGGGUUUGUUCAUAAAGUAUUUUCCUACCCCGAUGUCUUCAAGAAUUCUACCUAACCUCUGUUCCAGCUGGUUCAGCGUUUCUGUUUUUAUAUUUAGAUCUUUAAUCCAUUUUGAUUUUGGUUUAGUGCAUGAUGAGAGAUAUAGGUCUAGUUUUAGUCUUUGGCAAGUUGAAACCCAAUUUUUCCAGCACCAUUUAUUAAAGAGGCUGUCUCCUCCAGUGAGGGUGUUUGGCUCCUCUGUCAAAGAUGGGGUGGCUGAAGGCUAGGGAUUUAGCUCAGUAGUUCUGCCGCCUUCCUCAAAAGAUGAGGUGGCUGAGUGUGUCUGGAGUUGUUUCUGCAUCUUCUAAUCUGUUCCACUGGUCCUCAGGUCUGUGUCUUUGCCAAUACCAUUUUGUUUUUAUCACAGUAGCUUUGUAGUAUAGUUUCAAGUUGGGGGUUGUAAUAUCCCCUGCCAUGUCUCUGUUACCUAGAAUUGCUUUUGCUAUUCUGGGUCUCUUCUUGUUCCAAAUAAUUUUUGUAUUAUUUUCUCAAGGCCCAUGAAGUAUGCUGCUGGGAUUUCAAUUGGGAUCACAUUGAAUCUAUGUAGCAAUUUUGAUGUUCAACAUUCCAAAGACUGCCUUACAAUUGGCAUUUUGGAAUUGUUUGAGAUGAAAAGAGCUUCUCUCCAUUUAUGAGUGUUCCUCAGACCUGCUAUGUCAAAGAAUUCUGCUGCUCUGGAUUCAGGAAUAUUAAGAAGGAGUGCUUACAGACUUCAUCUAGAAGUUGAAUUUUCCUACAUGUGAGGAUAUUUAGUAAUAUUUUUCCAAGUACGAUCAAGAACAACAGAAAAGUAGCAUCUAGAGGCUGAUUUGUUUGAGGUAACUGGUUCUGAAAUGAGCAGCUGUCUGAAGAAAAAGAUAUCAUAUUUAUAAAUUUCAAGAAGACCGGCUGAAAAAUACAUGAUAAUACACUGCUUCACUUUAUUUUCCGUUCACAUACUAUAGUUUAACUUGACCUUAUCUGAAAAAGUUCCAUCACAGGUUCGUGGUACAGGACACAGAAGCAUAGCUGCCAAUCUGACGACUGCCAAGUGGUGUUGCUUGGAGGAGGCCUAGAUGGAGUGACCAGAUGAGUCUCUCCAGUCUUCCUAACCAAUGAUCCUAUUUUAUUUUGAUUUUGCUGCCUUCAAUUAUGUCACUGUUCAAUUAUGUCACAUUUUGCUAUGCCAAAAUGCUAUGUAAAGCUAUCCUUUGCUGGUGUGGGUUAUUUCUGGAAGUUGAGUUGCUGGCGCUCCUCACAGGGCUCCAGGCUGCAACUUCCUCCGGAGUCCACCAGCAGAAACCACCAGCUGGAGCUCCAGGUUGGUGGCUUUUGAAAGGCCUCAACCAAAUUGAAUUCCAUAGUUUCUUAGGAGUAAUGUCUCUCCAGAGACAUUGAGACAAAUAGCAUUUUCUGUGUCUACUAUGAAAUCAUUGGGUUUUUGGAAGACAACAGUGUUACUGGUGGUCAGUUUGGUGACUUUCACUUGUAUAAACUUGUGCCAUAGGAGUCCUCCUGCAGGGCGACUGCCUGGUUGGUGGGGCUCACUCCUUUCUGAGGGGGCCAACCAACAGAACCUUGCUGGGGUUUUCUCAAAGCCAAGUCAUUGGGUUUGUGCUUGGGUGAAAUAUUAUGUUGUGCUCUAUCAGCUCUAUAUCUGAGUGUAGAUCGAAUAUGCUUUCUCUCAGUCCAUUCACGUGGAAUGUUUUUCAUGUUUCUAUUCUUCUGACUCCUAAAAACAUGGAAAUAAAAGUCAUAUAGGAGUCUUAUCUUUUAUUUACUUAUUAAACAAAUAACUACAUAGGCACCUCUUAUAAAUAAAUAAAUAAGCUCUGAGCUCCUUUGAGAGAUCAUUCAAGGCCAGGUGUGGAGACCAGCUACCCUCAGUCAGUGUGAGCCUGAGGCUGGCAAGUCCACACCAGCCUCUCCUGUCUGCCAACCCAGAAACAGGAUCCCAUGGAUACUCAGCCCAUCUUCCUUGGACGUCUUCCACUCCAUCUUGUCUUUAACUUUCUUGGCUUCUCAGCUUUAUCCUUAUCUCUUGGUUUGUCUUUUUUUUUUUUUUUUUUUUUUUAACAUAUAAGGGUGUUUAUUGUUUGUAG
rnacentral:lncRNA from 1 species